rnacentral:lncRNA from 1 species
CGGCGGCGGCUGGGCUAGGCUGCUCGGUCCGGUUCGCGGCGUGGGCAGGCGCAUGCACGCAUGCGGGCGAGCACGUGGAGACAGGGCCGGUUCGGCCAAGUUGGCCGGCCGGUCCGUUUCCCUUUUUUUUGUUCUUUUUCUUUUCUCCUUUUCUUUUUCUGUUUUUCCUUUAUAACUUUUGAUUUUGAACUGCAAAUCAACUCAAAUAAAUUCCAGAAAAAUAAUAGAAUCAAAUCCUUAUAUGAUUCAACUCUUGGGACUAAAUUCCCCUCAAAAUAAAAUACUUGAAAAUACUUUUGUCUAUAUAAUUGCCUCUAAUGCAAUGUUAUUUAAAUACAAAAUAGUUUUUCAACUCCAAAUUAAAUAUCAAACAUUAUGGGGUAGCUUAUCUUAUUGCAAUAAACCCCUUUCUAUUGUCAAAACCCCAUGGGUUGGAAAAUUCCAAAUAGAUGCAAAGUAGAAUUAAAAGGUAAAAGACUUAAUAAAAAUGUUUUAAAUUUUUCUUUGGUUUAAAGGUGUUCAAUGUGCAUAAAUGGCAUGAUGCUCAUGAUUGCAAAUGCAUGAUGCAAGGUUUGGAAAAAAAUUUGGGAUGUCACAUU